rfam:Sphingomonas koreensis strain ABOJV, complete genome.
UCACCGCCGCGUGACUGACGCUUGAAGAUGGGCCACCAUCGGGAAGCGCGAGCGGACCUCGCCGCGCGUCUGGGCAUCGCUC